GGCCGUCGUUCCGGCGUUAGCUCAUCAUCUCCACUGAUGCUGGUUGUCGAGGGCGUCUUCGGUUCACCAAAUCGGCGAUUCCUGGCUUACGAAAUCGGGGAUAAUUGCAGGAGAUCUUCGAGUUUCGAUUCGAAUCGGUGACAAUCGGUUUGUCAAGGAAAUGCAAAGAUCUCAGUAGUAUUGGUGACACAGUUGUGAUCUCUGUGACAAAAGAAGGGGUGAAGUUUUCAACAGUAGGCCAAGAUCUUUCACUUCGGAUCUAUCAGUUUGAUUGGGAAUAAAGCUGCAAGGAAAAAGAUCAUGAGUAUCUGAAAUUUAGUUGAUGUUAGAAAGUUUGGAGACCACAAGUACUCAUUUUAUGCUUUGUACACCAUGUAUCAUUGGAUUGCUUUGCUAUAAAUAUCACCAUGUAUUACACUAUAUUUUUCAUUCCCUUUUGUUAUCUUUUAUUCAAAUCAAUACAAAACUCUCUUUCUCUUUU